CCAGUGUGUAAGUAUAGGGGCCCUACA
rnacentral:piRNA from 1 species